AACCUUUACACUGCACGACAGUGCGAUAGGGGGACUCCGAGUGCGAGGGCAUAUAGUCCUCGCUUUUCUGUACCGUAAGGUGGUACAGGAACAAGUGCUGGGCAAGACCGGUGCCAGCCGCCGCGGUAAUACCGGCAGCCCGAGUGAUGGCCGAUCUUAUUGGGCCUAAAGCGUCCGUAGCUGGCCGUGCAAGUCCGUCGGGAAAUCCACCCGCUCAACGGGUGGGCGUCCGGCGGAAACUGCAGGGCUUGGGACCGGGAGGCUUGAAGGGUACGUCCGGGGUAGGAGUGAAAUCCCGUAAUCCUGGACGGACCACCGAUGGCGAAAGCACCUCGGAAGGACGGAUCCGACAGUGAGGGACGAAAGCUAGGGUCUCGAACCGGAUUAGAUACCCGGGUAGUCCUAGCCGUAAACGAUGCUCGCUAGGUGUGGCGCAGGCUACGAGCCUGCGCUGUGCCGUAGGGAAGCCGUGAAGCGAGCCGCCUGGGAAGUACGUCUGCAAGGAUGAAACUUAA
rnacentral:rRNA from 1 species